CUUGCGGUUGAGGGAUCGCGGGUUCGAAUCUCAGACUGGGUGAUGUGUGUGUUUAUGAGCGAAACGCCUAAGCUCCACACGGCUCCGGUAGAAGGUGAUGGCGAACUUCUACUGACUCCUUCGCCACAUAUUUCUUUCACUCUUUCCUCGUGCAUCUUGCAGCUGACUUGCGACGGGCCGGCGUCCCGUCCAGGUGGGGAACCUAUACGCCAAGGAAACCGGGAAACCGGCCCAGUGAGCCAGGCACGGCUAAACAACAUAAAUACCUAUAAUGGUGAUACUUAAAAGAAAAUAAUUAAUUUAGUUCAAUUAAAAAGCAUGGAUAAGUAACGCUUUGUAUGCCACACUACAAUUUGCGGAAAAAGUUUUCUGCGCGCAGGGUAUGCAUCGCCCUUUUGAUAGCUUUUGUUUUUUCAUUUUCUUUUCUGCUAGAAAGAGAGAAAAACAUAUGUGGGUGGUUUAACUGCAGUAUCUAAUUUUUUCUGAGAACUACAAAUACGUGUUUUCUAACAUCCAUAUACUCACAAUGGUCAGCAACUGUGAGGUGUGUGUCUAGGUCGAUACUGUGGAACUCAAUACUGUACUGAUAAUUUGUUUCCGAGAUGAUGAAAGGCGAAGUCGACACUGGCGGAAUCUGAACAUAGAACGUGAAGUGCUUGAAUAAACGUCGGAAAGGAUUCUGUCCGACUCUCCCAAGAUUCUGCUAGUCCACCGCUGCCAACGCGCGCACAAGAGCACAUGCACACACACACACACACACACACACACACAGACACACACACACACACACACACACACACACACACACACACACACACACAUACCACAUACCACAACAACAACAACAACAUAUCAGUGAUAAGGCUUUCUGAUUUUGGCAUGUGGCCAGCAAUUUUGAGGGUAGGCGGAACGGCGGUCACAUCCGUCCCAAUACUUGACUGUAUUUUAUGAACCCCAGAAGGAUGAAAGACAAAGUUAAUCUCUGUUGGGAUUUGAACCCAGAAUGUAAAGUGACAGAACAAAUGCUGCAAACAUAUUCUUUUCUACUCAAGGCACAAGGCCCGAAAUUUUGGUGGAGUGGGGCAGUUGAUUAGAUCAACCUCCGUAUGCAACUGGUGCUUAAUUUAUCGACCCCGAAAGGCUGAAAGGCAAAGUCGACCUCGGCGGAAUUUGAACUCAGAACGUAACGGCAGGCGAAAUACUGCUAAGCAUUAGACCCGGCGUGGUAACGUUUCUACCAGUUCGCAGCCUUUAAUGCUGCAAAACAUAUUGCCAUGCUCUAACUUUGGUACUGAAAUUGAAAUGCUUAGUAUGAAGGGAGAGAUUAGUUGAUUAUGUCGACAUCCACAGUUGACUGCUAUUGCAUUUUUUCGAUUUUUGAAGGAGGAAAGACAAAGAUAGCUUCGACGGCAUUUCACUUCUGAACGUAAAGAGCUUGACCUAACGUCGCAAAGAAUUUUGUCAAAGGCGAUAGAUGUUAUGCCAGUCCAUCACAGCCAACACACACGCACUCAUAAUGAGAACAAGAACAAGAACAGCAACAGCAACAACAAUAAUGUUCUUUUCUUACUCUAGGCACAAGACUUGACAUUUUUGGAGAGGGGGGCCAGUCGAUUAGAUCGACCCAGUAUGCAACUGGUACUUAAUUUAUCGACUCCGAAAGGAUGAAAGACAAAGUCGACAUCGGUGGAAUUUGAACUCAGAACGUAGCGGCAGACGAAUUACCUAUUUCUUUACUACCCACAGAAAGGACAAACAAGGACAGACAAAAGGAUUAAGUCGAUUAUAUCGACCUCAGUGCGCAACUGGUACUUAUUUAAUCGACCCGAAAGGAUGAAAAGCAAAGUCGACCUUAACGGAAUUGGAACUCAGAACGUAACGGCAGACGAAAUACCGCUAAGCAUUUCGUCCAGCGUGCUAACGCUUCUUCCAGCUCGCCGCCUUAAUAAUAAUAAUAAUAAUAACAACAAAAUAUUUCUUAUGGAUAGUAUAUAUUCAAUUAUAAUAAAUACCAAGCUUGUAUUGUGUCCAAUCAUUAUUUAAUGUUUGCUGAUUUUGAUGCGUAUACAAACACUAUUAAUUGAUUAACGGAUUAAGGCGACGAGCUGGCAGAAUCGUUAGCACGCCGGAGACAAUGCUACGCAGUAUUUCGUCUAUCCUUAGUUCAAGUGUCGAUCUUGCAGGUCGAUGAUGUAGGAACCAGUUGAGCUUCCACCAAAACUUCGGACCUUGUGCCUAUAGUAUGUAUAUAUUUAUUUCGUUUUUGUAGUUGGUUUGCAAGAUUAUAUUUAUGAAUUCGUGUGUUGAAGUAUAUUUUAUUGUGUCUGGGGAGAAUCAUUCUGUUUUAAUGCCUUACUAAUUAACACACGCGCGGUUCGAUUUCCACUCAUUUACUUAUUUAAUUUUUCUAAAAUUUUUGUUGCUUCUUCCAAACUCUUCAGUAGUCAAGUAACAAGGCAUUAAAACAGAAAGACUCUCUUCAGACACAAUGAUAUAUAUAUAUAUAUAUAUAUAUAUAUAUAUAUAUAUAUAUAUAUAUAUAUAUAUAUCACGUGAUCGACCAGGCUAACAAAUGUUGUUACGCAUCGCUGGUCACAAUGCGCUUCGCAUUGUUUUAGCCUUCAAAUGACGCAACCCCGCUGGCUAAGCGAGCAGGCCAAGAAAAGAAAGAGUAAGAGAAAUUUGCGGCGAAAGAGUACAGCAGGGAUGGCCACCACCACCAACCGGAGCCUUGUGGAGCUUUAGGUGUUUUCGCCCGGUCUGUGUAUCGAAACCGCGAACCUACGAUUGUGAGUCCGCUGCCCUAACCACUGGGCCAUUGCGCCUCCACAUACACACACACACACACACACACACACACACAUAUGUAUAUAUAUAUAUAUAUAUAUAUGUAAAUAAAUAAAAUAUAUAUAUUAUAUAUAUAUAUAUAUCUGUGUGUGAGCGCCCGCUAAUAUUUAUCUAUCUAUCUAUCUAUCUAUCUAUCUAUCUAUCUAUCUAUCUAUCUAUCUAUCUGUCUGUCUGUCUAUCUAUCUAUCAUCUAUCUAUCUAUCUAUCUAUCUAUCUAUCUAUCUAUCUAUCUAUCUAUCUAUCUAUCAUCUAUCUAUCUAUCUAUCUAUCUAUCUAUCUAUCUAUCUAUCUAUCAUCUAUCUAUCUAUCUAUCUAUCUAUCUAUCUAUCUAUCUAUCUAUCUAUCUGUCUGUCUGUCUGUCUAUCUGUCUGUCUGUCUGUCGGUCUGUCUAUGUAUGUAUGUAUGUAUGUAUGUAUGUAUAUACAUACAUAUAUAUUUAUAUAUAUAUCUAUAUAUACAUAUAUAUAUAUAUAUAUAUGUGUGUGUGUGUGUGUGUGUGUGUGUGUGUGUGUGUGUGUAUGUAUGUAUGUAUACAUAUAUACAUAUACAUAUACAAAUACAUGUGUGUAUGUGUUUGUCUUUGUGAAAAAGAGACAACAGAGAGAAAGAGAGAGAGAGUGUGUGUGUGUGUGUGUGUGUGGAGAGAGAAAGGAAGGGGAGAGAUAUCUAUAGAAUAGUGACACGGCGACACAGACAUUGUUACAUUGUUCUCACUCAGACAGACAUUACGUCAUCUGUCUGUCUACAACAGUUAACUUUUCUCUGUGUGCAUUUGUGUUUGCCAGUCACACUUUCAAUUCUUCUGGCCUCAUUAUUAUUGUUGUUGCUGAUGUCAUUGUCCCUAUUUUUGUUGCAGCUCUUACUGUUGGAGUAGCUGUUGUUGUUGUUGUUGUUGUUGAUACUGUUAUUAUAGUGUUUACACUCAGACGAGCCUGUUUUGAGCAGACCAAUGAUCAAAAGCAUUCCAUUCACGACCUUCAUGUCUUUAUGUAUAUCUGGCUCUCUCGAUCGUCUUUUGUAUCCAUUCAUAUUAGGAUUAUCAUGGGUGAGGUGCAUGGCUUAGUGGUUAGGGUGUUGCACUCGUGAUUUGUAAGAUUGGGGGCUCGAUUCCUAGGCCGGGCAGUGAGUUGUCUUCCUGAGCAAAACACUUCAUUUCAUGUUGCUCCAGUGCACUCAGCCAGCAAAAAGGAGUAAGCCUUCGACGAACCGGUGUCCUAUCCAGGGGGAUAAUAUAUACACCGCAGAGAUUGGGAAUCUUUAUCCGAUAUUUUUGUAUUAGGAUAAUAGAGUGAGACCGGGUGGUAUGAAUUUAGCUGCUAUUUCUUGCAGGUCAAACGGCGACGUUGAGACUUUCUUGUCGGUUCGUUGCUGCUGUAGUUAUAGCUGUUGUAGCUGCUGCUGUUGAUGGUGGUUCUAUUGCCUUUGUGUUGCGUAACUGUGGCGGUGUCUCUACUGUCUCAGUACUGGGGGGGGGGGGGGGAGCAAGAUGUAGAGAAAGAAAGAAAGGGGAGAGAGAGAGAGGGAGAGAGAGGGAGAAAAAGAGGACACGCUGUGAUGAUUGAUGAGAGAAGGGGUAGAGGUUGCAGAAAGGUAACGCGUGUGGCUAGGGAAGGGAGUUUAAGUGAAGAAAGUGUAUCGUGUGAGACGUGGUAGACGCAGGUUGUAGUGAGAGGAGAGAUUUGACGUAAGAGGAGAAAAAUGGGUUUUAAUGAGAAGAUGAGUGAGUGAAAAAGUGCUGAGUAGAGAGAGAGAGAUAGGGGGUGGAGACAGAAAAGUGGGAUUAGGGAUACGUUGUAGUUUUAGGUAAUACGGAGAGAUAGGAACAUGUAGUGAGAGAAAAUAGAAAGGAUUAAAAAAAGACAAUCAGGUUUCAAGAGAGAGGUAAGCAUAAAAGGACGCAAAAGUAUUGAAAAGAGAAAAAGAGAGACAUAGAUAUAGUUAGACAGACAGACAGACAGACAGACAGACAGACAGACUGAUAGAUAGAUAGAUUGAUUGAUUGAUCGGUAGAAAGAUAGAGAGGUAGAGAGAUAGAGAGAGAGGGGGGGAAUAUUUCUGUGCGUGUGUGCAGGUGCAUUUGCGCGCGCGUGAACGUGUAGUGUGGUAAGGAAGCCAGGUGUAGGAAGAGUAGUGAGAGGAGGAUGAGGAAUGCAGUGAGAGGAGAAAAACUGCAAUAAAAUAGAGUAGAGAGAGAGAGAAAGGGGUGGGGAGAAAAGAGUGAGAGGAGGAAUGUAAAAGGGAGAUGUGUUUCUAAAGAGUGAAGAAAUAGUGGAAGGAGCGAGGGAGGGAGGGAGAUAAGGCGAGAGGGGGAGGGAGUUGGCAAAAGAAAAGAUGAGUGUGAGAGAGGGUGAUAGAGAAAUAAGGUGUAAGGCGAGAAAUAGGGUGUAAGGUAGAGAAGAAGGAGAGAUAGAAACAAAUACGGAGAGGGAGAGAAAAGGUGUGUGAGAGAUCGUAAGAGAGAAACAGAGAUAUGUUAGUGUGUGUGUGGUAUGUGUGUGUGUGUGUGCGAGAGAGAGAGAGAGAGAGAGAGAGAGAGAGAGGUGCAAGAAACAAAUAGAAGCAGAAAAGCGAUACAUUGUGUGAGAGGGAGAUAUCAAAGGUACAAAAGAAACAGGGAGGAGAGAGAGAGAGGGGGGGAAAGAGAGAGACAGAGAGAGAAGGGAAGAGAUAAAACCACCUGUAUAUAUAUAAUCUACUAUCAACUAUACACAACUUCGUUUCUACCGAAAACUCUAGUCGUCUUGCCACUUCUGCAAAUAGCACAUGCACACUGCACGGCCGCCGCUACUCCCCCGUAAUCUUCACUAGGAAUAUAACAUAGAUAUAAUAAUGGAACGAGUAGACGUAUUGUCAUCAAUAUUAUCAUCAUCGUUUCCUACCAGAACAGCCGACAUUCGUACAGUUAAUUACUACUCUCACCGUCACCACCAUUGUUUCUUAUUUCUUUAUUGCCCACAAGGGGCUAAACACAGAGGGAACAAACAAGGACAGACAAAGGGAUUAAGCCGAUUACAUCGACCCCAGUGCGUAACUGGUACUUAAUUUAUCGACCCCGAAAGGAUGAAAGGCAAAGUCAACCUCGACGGAAUUUGAACUCAGAACGUAACCGCAGACGAAAUACCUAUUUCUUUACUACCCACAAGAGGCUAAACACAGAGAGGACAAAUAAGGACAGACAAACGGACUAAGCCGAUUACAUCGACCCCAGUGCGUAACUGGUACUUAAUUUAUCGACCCCGAAAAGAUGGAAGGCAAAGUCAACCUCGGCGGAAUUUGAACUCAGAACGUAACGGCAGACGAAAUACCUAUUUCUUCAUUACCCACAAGGGGCUAAACACAGAGAAGACUAACGAGGACAGACAAAAGGAUUAAGCCGAUUACAUCGAUCCCAGUGCGUAACUGGUAUUUAAUUUAUCGACCCUGAAAGGAUGAAAGGCAAAGUCGACCUCGGCGGAAUUUGAACUCAGAACGUAACGGCAGACGAAAUACCGCUAAGCAUUUCGCCCGGCAUGCUAACGUUUCUGCCAGCUCGCCGCCUUUGUUUCUAUUAUAACCAUUACUAUUGCUAUCGCCAUAAUUACUACCAGCACUAACAUUACCACCAACAUUGCUACUAUCAAUGCCACGAAGUUUACUUACGUCUCCAUCUACGGUAUUGUUAGCCCCAUCACGAACACAAGCAUUGUUGUUAACACCACCGUCCACCAUCAUACAGCCAACAGCGGAGGCUCCCUUAUUUCUGUCUUUGAAAUCACUGAAAAAAGAAUUAGCUUUUCCUGCACAUACUUCUCACCUAGAAAUCAAUAAACACGAUUGCUAGUUGCUCGGGCUCUCGGAGUUCAUUUGCUGUUUCUACUUCUCCUUUGUGACAUUCAACCCGCCAAGGUAGCCACCUGCAUUCAAGACAUAAAUCCUGCAUUUAAGACAUAAAUCUCAAUUUGUCUCUCAGGAAUCACCAUCAUCAUCAUCAUCAUCACCAUCGAUCAAAUCCGCAACUACUUCUGUCCCUCGCACGUCUACACCACCAUUAUCUGUUCUGAAUUAGCUUUACUAUCCUCAUCUAUCCAUAUACCUGAUCAAUUCAUAAACUCUUCAAACACCCUUGAUCUCUUUCUCGUCUCCAAAUCCAGCCUUUAUCCAAGCUUCGUCAUUUCUGUUCUAAAUGGAUCGCUUGGUCUCGUACUAGUUAAGGUAUCACUCCUACCAUUUUCUCAUCAUCUUCUGUAUACUGUUGCUUCUGGCGAUACACACACGUUAGCCUUAUACACGCUGACAGCCUCGGCUCUUUCUGCUAAACAUACAAUGUUUAGAGACCUCCAUGAAUAGAAACCUCAAAAACAUCUCACGAAUGUAACUCCAUCGCAGUUUCAACACUUCGGAGCCAGAAUCACUACACAAAUGAAGGAAACUCUGUUGAAACCAUCUCUCGCUACAAAUGUUAGACAUUUUCACAAUCCUCCAUCUUUCAUGGUGACAUCAGAUAUAUAACAUUAUUAAAACUACAUCACAAAAAUCUAGGCAUUUAAUAGCAAUAAUAUUUCAGAUCUGAUGAGUUGCAGACCAAAAGCAAACUUAAAUAAGACACACAUUGAGAUACUGCUCACAUAUUUGGAACUUUGUUACAGAUACACACAAAUAUCCUACAACAAAGAAUAAAAAUACCAUUGUUUGUAUGGAUUCAAGACAACGUGUUGACAAACAGGUUGUACUUCUUUAUAUAGGAAACAGCAUAUCCUGAUCACUGUGGCUAUCCUUUGUAUCUGUCAAGUUCCUGCUGUAGAGUGUUAAUCAGCUGGCCUCUGUUCAUAUUUACUUCACUUAUUUACUUGCUUAUAAGCAAGGUGGUGUCUGACACUAACCUCUCAAGUCCUCAUAACUAUUUCUAAUCACAGUCGCCUGUGAGAUUUCAAGUGUCUUACGUCCAGUGACAGAGAGCAGUGUCUUAGCGUGUAGAUCUGUUGGAUCUGUUAUUCCCAAUAAAAUUGUAGUAUCACGUCGUGAUUUAACAGAGCUUUUUCUAUCCUCAUUCUAUCAACUCUUGCGUGCCACAUAGCUUGGCUCGUUCUUUAAUCUCUUCACACUUUAAUGACCUACCCGCCAUCACAUUCAACAACGCUCACUCUUACGCAGAUAAUAUGCCCUACACUCUUCCCUAACCUCUACUAAUCACGUAUCAUUCACAUGCAACAUACACACCGCGCAUCAAACCAGAACAGAUUUUCUGAAAAGCGACCUCGAAAGCAUAUCCCAACAGUGCUAUAUCAAUGUUACUUCUUUCAAAACAACAAAACUACCUAUACCGAAAAAUCAUCACCAUAUCAAAUAUCUCUUAAAUAUGAGCAUCACACAACUAAAGCUUUCAAAAUUCCUUCAAAUGUUAAACCUCGCUAUCACUGAAGAUCUCCCUCUUUGUUGUAAGCACGUCCUUAAUUUUCUAACGGAUCGUCUUUUUCUUCGCAGUUAGUAGAUACUUCCACUCACAACAAUUUUUGACUCUCUAUAAAACUCAGGUAAGGCUAACAUCAUCAUCAUUAUUCUCCUCCUCCUCCUCCUCCCCAUCAUCAUCAUCAUCAUCAUCAUCCAGUGUUUUAAAUCCGGGUUUUGACCCGUUAACGAGGGUGGCCGGAUCUACCUCAAUGCCGAGGUAGGGAAGUGCAGCCCACCCCAACCUUUGGGCUGCUUAGUGUCCAUUCUCCUUUGCUAUCAUGAGGCUUUCUUAGAGAUGGAUUUUCUAUGGGGAGCAUGCUCUUGUUUACCUCAAAUCUCAGUUUCUAGACAUGAGUGGUCUCGAAACCAAGGCCGUUACUACAAUUUUUAAGAAAUGUGGUGGAAAACUAGCUCAGGAAGGCAGGGUCGCUACUCCUUGAGACCCCAUUUUGGAGCCCCUCUACCGCAUGUAUUAUUCCUAAUUAUGGCACUGGAAUGCCUCUGCACACAAAAGCAUCUAACAACGGAGUCAGAAAAGUGCUACCCGACCGAUUGGCAUAGGGUGGCUCAUAGCAACGCACCUACCUCCAACCUUCAAGCACAAUGUCUCCUCUCUAGGGUAUUUUCUACUGAUUCUUUAAUGGCCUCUACACCUUAGAUCAUGACACUCCAUUCAGGUCUUCCUCCCUCAUUCGUCUCUCCUCUAAUCAUCACCCUUGUUGUGUUACUCUAGGGUGGCGCAAUAUACACUACGCUCAGAACGAUGGUCCUCUGGAGUCCCACACCCUGCUCAUUUCUUUCCUCCAGACAUUGGUGUGCAAUGGUUCAAGAGGAACAUUAAUGGCAUCGGUCUCACCUAUUUCGGAGGGCCUGCAAAGACCAUGGGUACCUUCACUUCAUCUAGUCCCAGUAUCUACAAAAAAAAAAGGACUGAUAGAUAAGUUGGUAGGUUAGUAUAAAAAAGUGUCACAGAGGUGAGGAAAGCGAGUUGGUGAGGGAAACGUUAGAGGGUUAAAUGAUUUUAUUACAGAUCCCAUUUAUCUGUAAAUGUAGGGGACAGAUGCUGAAGUCUCGAAUGAUUUUGUGUGGCGCCUCGAUGGUCUAAAUAUAGGAAAGAGGUAAUGUGGUGUCUUUGAGAAAAAUUGAGUUAUAAUGAGAUGGAAUGUCUAGAUGAAUGUGGUGACUAACAUGUAGUGUAUAAUGACUAACAUGGUGUGUAUAAUGACUAAUAAGAACAUGCUAUAGAGAAUGUAACCAACAGAGCAGUAAACUAAUCCAACAUGUAUUUGCUUCUGACAAGUGGUUGUCAGAAAUAACAAGGAGAGCGCCAUGAAAUGAAUUACGAGAAUCAAGAGAGAGAGAGUAAGAUAGAGGAGGGCGGAGAUACAGGGGAUGGAGAAAAGGGAGAAGAAGGACGGGAGAUGGAGUGGGAGGGGGCGACAUUGUGAGGGAGGGAGAAAGAGAUACACAGCAAGUGUGUGAGGAGCGACAGACAGUGAGAAAGAGAGUGGGAGAGAAACGGAGAUAGAGAGAGAGAGAGAGAAAGGGGGAGAGAGUGUAGAUAGGUAUGCAAGAGAGAGGAAUAUCGAGUGUGAGAAAAAGGGAGAGGAAAUAAGCAUGGAGAACAAAAAUAAGGGUUUGACAAAACGAGUGAAAGAGAAACAAUACAUAGAAAAAUAAUGGGUGAAGAACCGGAAUAGAGAGAAAAGAAGCGACAAUGAUGUGUGUGUGUGUGUGUGUGUGUGUGUGUGUGUGUGUGUGUGUGUGCGUGUGUGAGUGUGUGUCUGUGUGUUCGUAUAUAUGUGUAUAAAUAUAUAUAUAACGGUAAAGUUUACGAAAAUAAACAAAAGACAAGGGCAGGUGGAGUACAAACAAACAAAUGUAUUAGUAUAGCGCUCAGGAAUAGAAAAAGUCUUUUACGUUUCGAGCCUACGCUCUUCGACAGAAAGAUACACAGAAAAAAACAAGGAGAGAAAAAGUGCGUGUAGGAGCUAACGAUAUAUAUGUAUAUAUAUAUAUAUAUAUAUAUAUAUAUAUAUAUAUAUAUAUAUAUAUAUAUAUAUAUAUAUGCGUAUAUAUGUAUAUAGGCAUGUAUGUACACAUAAAUAUAUUUAUGGACAGAUAUACAUAUAUGUCAUAUUUCCCUUCCCACAGGUCUAGUUUAAAGCGAUGAUAUUUUUGUCUGUUUUGUGUAAUGCAUUUUAAAAUGUUAAGCUCUGCUCUAGGUUUUAUAACGCAGACUAUGAUACGGAUCUAAAGUACUUAAUUCCAAUUGUUUAUCAUGCACUUUGUGAUUACUUAUAUGCCUCAUUGCCUCAUUGCCUUUUUGCCCAGAAGAAAACUGCCUUCUUUUUUGGUGAACUGUAUUACAUAUACAAUUCUAUAAUUUCUGAGAUGUACGCUAUUCACCUCAGUCGGACUAAUAUCCUCAUCUUGACUGUUGCUUUCCCUACGUUUCGGCUGUUGUACGCUCCAGCCUUCUUCAAUCGAAUUCGACGCAAGACAACCGAAGAAGCAUCAAUCAAAAUGAAGACACCGCCACUUCGGCUACUGUAAAUAUCGUAUUACAUAUUUCUGUUUGUUCACAAGACUUCGUCCCACUUGCAUGUUGCUAUCCUUCAUGUUUUAAGACUUUUCUUUCAAAUACCCAUUACUAUAGUGAGAUUUACAUUGUCUGGCGCAUCCGGAGGUCUAGUACUGUGAGAGGAAGCCGUCAGAAUAAAAAAUGCACCGAAAUGCAUAGGGGUCACACAGCUGACGAAACGCGUUCAUGUCUAAUGGUCCUUAUCAUCUCAUUUUGAUAUACCACACACACACACACACACACACACACACAUAUUUAUAUUUUUUUUAUUCUUUUACUUGUUUUAAUCAUUUGACUGCAGCCAUGCUGGAGCACCGCCUUUUAGUCGAACAAAUCGACACUAAAACUUAGUUUGUGAGCCCAGUAUUCAUUCUAUCGGUCUCUUUUGCCGAACUGCUAAAUUACGGGGACGUAAACACACCAACAUCGGUUGUCAAGCGAUGGUGGUGAGACAGCCACAUACACAUAAACAUGUACACACACACACACACACAUAUAUAUAUAUAUAUAUAUAUGUGUGUGUGUGUGUGUGUGUGUGCGCACACACACACACACACACACACACAUAUCCAUACAUAUAUUUGCUGUGUUAUGUAUGGAAUCAUAGAAUCACAGGAGGCUUCUAUAACAUACCAUAUUGUAAUCCCAUACAGAAGAGUAUAAUGCUGAAAACUAGAAGAUUCGGUCGAUGAAAUUAUUUCGUAUGGAGUAUAUAAACCGUAGAAAAUCAGGUGGUAUGAGAGUUCAGUAUAUUUAUUUAACCACCUGACACCCUUAAGAAUACAGCUGUUUCGCAACCUUCUUCAUGUAACAAUGAUUUGAGUGUACAGUAAUCCCUCGCGAUAUCACGGUUUACUUAUCACGGUUCAUCUAUCGCAGUUCACCUUUCGCGGUUUAUUAAGUAAACUUACGUCGAUUCCUCCGUGACGUUGUUUUUCACUUAUAAUAAAAUAAAUAUAUACAAAUUAUAAAAAUAAUUUUUUAAAAUGUACUGUACAAUACUGUUUCUACUUCGCGGAGUUUCACCUAUCCCAGUGAGGUUUUGAACGUAACUCCCGCGAUAGUCGGAUGCCUGCAUUAACAUGCAUACUACACAUACAAUACUAUUGUAUGUUCAGAGAGAAAUGCAAAUAAAGUAAGUUAUCUCAUCAGAUCAAUAAAACAUGAUAACACCAAACAAUUCAACUCUAUAAUAGCCCACAUAAUAGGGCAACUGCUCUCUGAUAAACAACCGAAACGGCCGUAAUCCUAAAAAUGUCAUGUGAUUAAAUAAAAAUAUAUAUAGAUAUAAUAAAUAUGCAUAAACACACACACAUAUAUAUGUAUAUAUGUAUGUGUGUAUAUAUACAUACAUACAUACAUAUAUAUAUAUAUAUAUAUAUAUAUAUAUAUAUAUAUAUAUAUAUAUAUAUAUAUAUAUGGUUCAAAUUUACAGAAAAUAAAAGACGAAGACAGGUGAGGGAAGAACAAGCAAGUGUAUUAGUUUGACGCUCAGGAAGAAUGGAAAAGUCUUUGAUGUUUCGAGCCUACGCUCUCCGACAGCAAGGUAUGAGAGGAGAAAAAAAUUGUGAGAGAACGAAAAAGUAGAGAGAGUAAAUAAUGUGUAGAUACUAAACUGAGUAUUACCAUUGGUUGAUAACUGACGAAGAAUUAGGGACCUUUUGUGUCUGUCUCCUGUCCGGUUCUAUACUCGGUAUACGUAUAGGUUUUUUAUCUGUCGCUAUUUAUUUACAAUGCAUUCUUCUCUUUAUUAUAUAAAAAACGUAUAUGUAUACUAAGUGUACAGCCGGACGGGAGACAGACACGCACACACACACAAACACACACACACACAAACACACACACACACACACACACACACACACACAUAUAUAUAUAUAUAUAUAUAUAUAUAUAUAUAUAUAUAUAUAUAUAUAUAUAUAUAUAUACUAGCAGUAUCGCCCGGCGUUGCUCGGGUUUGUAAGGGAAAUGACUAUAUAAGCAUUUUUAGAGAGUUAUACCCAAAAAAUAGCAAAAAAUGCAUUAAAAAUGGAAAAAAAAAUGAUGGUAAAUUUUUUUUUAAAUCGUUGACUCAUCGUAGACAUUUUUAGAGAGUUACUUCCCUUAUAUGAUAGCGAAAAAAAUGCAUUAAAAUGGAAAAAAAUGAUGGUAAUUUUUUUUAAAAUCGUAGACUCAUCGUAGACGCGCGCUAAUACCCAGAAGGGCGCGAUAUGAAUCACGACUAUAAGAUACCCGGUUUUGGUUAAACUGCACCGCAAAAUGUGGGAGUAGUUAGGAAUCUAAAUUGUAGGAGAUAGACACACAACUUCUCUUUUAUAUAUAAAGAUAUAUAAAUGAUAAUAAUAAUCAUUAUAAUAAUAAUAAUGGUAUAUAUAUAUAUAUAUAUAUAUAUAUAUAUAUAUAUAUACAUAAUAUAUGAACACAUACACACACAUGAAUGCAGAACCCAGCUUAGUAACUAAAGACUCGUAUUAAAUCAACCAACCGUUUCAUAGUUAAGAAAACAACUAAAUGCGAAGCUAUUUAGAGAGCUCAAACAUACCCUCUUUAACAGUACUCAACGCGAUCUCCGCGCCGGAAGAAACUGCUCGACACGUUUUCCCCAACUGUAUAAGCAAAAUCUAAAAUAGGUAUUCUCUGAAACAAUGUUGAACAUCUUUAAUCUUUUACUUGUUAGACUGCGGCCAGGCCAUACUGGGGUACCGUCUCGAAGAAUUUUUAGUUGAAUAAACCAAACCCAGAGCUUUUUAUAAAACCUGGUAUUUAUUUUAUCGUCACUUUUGCCGAAACUCUAAGUUUCUAGUUUCCGUUUACCAAAUCUACUCACAAGGUCUUGGGUCGUCCCGAGGCUAUGGUAGAAGACAUUUGCUAUACCGUAAGACUGAACCCGGAACCAUCUGGUAGGAAGCAAGCUUUUUACCACAGAGCCACAUCUGUGCUUAUGUAUAACUUCAGUUUGCAAAAUCUCUAAUAAAGUCCUUUUAUAAUAGGAACUGUGGCAUAACAGGAGGAUUGGGCGUUCGCUUAACGCUUAGAGACUGAAACUAAUCGAACAAACCAAUAGAACCCAAGGUGUAAAAUAUUUACUGCAGUUAGCUUUUCUUUCUUCACUGUUUUGGCGACUUGUAAUACAAAAUGUAUUACAAAUAAUCCUUUCUAUUAUAGGCACAAGGCCUGGAAUUUGGAGGAUUACAUUGACCCCAGUACUCAACUGGUACUUAAUUUAUCGACCCCGAAAGGGCGAAAGUCAAAGUCGACCUCGCGGAAUUUGAACUCAGAACGUACCGCCGGGCGAAAUACGGCUAAGCAUUUCGUCCAGCGUGCUAACGAUUUUGCCAGCUCACCGCCUUAAUGUAUUACAAAUAAUGACAGGUAGAUAAGGCCUGGAUUCAAAGGUUAAACAAGGUUUUUAUAUACCCAACUAAAUCUGUGUUCUUUAUCAUUUGGAUCGUAACAAAAAUAUAUUCUAAAUCCACAAGCUUCCAUGUUAUCCUAGUGCAACUAAACAAUUAAUUUGUACAACAACAACAACAACAACAACUACUACUACUACUACUACUACUACUACUACUACUACUACUACUAUCAUUAUUAUUAUUAUUCUAUGUAAAAUGCGGGAUGAAACAAUCCAGUGAAAAUUUGGUGAUUAAUAUUGAACUUUGUAAGGCAACAAGCUGGUAAAAUGCUUAGCGGCAUUUCGUCCGUUUCUACGUUCUGAGUUCAAAUUCUGCCAAGGCUGAUUUUGUUGUUCAUCCUUUCGGGGUCAAUAAAAUAUGUACCAGUUUGUACCAGUAAAAUAUGUACUGGGAUUGAUGUAAUCAACUUAUUCCCUCCUCCGAAACUGCUGGAUUUGCGCCAAAAUUUGAAACCAUUCUGUAUUGUAUUCAAUGAAAAGUAUUUUUCCACCAAUCAUCUAUAUUGAUCUCCGAUAUAUAAAGCACAUCUAUCUAUCUAUCUAUCUAUCUAUCUAUCUAUCUAUCUAUCUAUCUAUCUAUCUAUCUAUCUAUCUAUCUAUCUAUCUAUCUAUCUGUCUUUGUGUAUGUGUGCAUAUGUGUGUGUAUAUGUGUGUGUGAGAAAAAUGGUGGGUGUAUGUGUGUGUGAGAGAGAGGGUGGGUGUAUGUGUGUGUGUAUGUAAAAAUAUACGACGUACUACUUUCGAUUUCCGUAUACCAAAUCCACUCACAUGGCUCUGGUCGGUAGGGAGUUAUAGUAGUGGUAAAAAAUUCUCAAGGGAGCUAAACAACAGAAGGCCUUCAGAGACGAAAUAGCCCUCAGAAAAGUGUUUUGGCACUCUACUUACAUUCCAAGGGGUCGGACCGCAUGUAAAUCAUAGCUCCUGAAUUCCGUUCUUCUGACACUUUUUAGCCGGAGACUUGAGGAUUCGAACCACUUGGAGAUUUCAUCUAGUUGUAACUUCUCUCCAUUAAUUAAGCUUUCAAGCUUACGAGGUGCAUUCAAGGCGCAGGGGGAUGGAGCUGUGUGGUAAGUAGCUUGCUUACCAACCAGAUGGUUCCUGGUUCAGUCCCACUGCGUGACACCUUGGGCAAGUGUCUUCUACUAUAGCCUCGGGCCGACCAAAGCCUUGUGAGUGGAUUUGGUAGACGGAAACGGAAAGAAGCUCGUCGUAUAUAUGUAUAUACAUGUAUGUAUGUGUGUGUGUGUUUGUCCUCUCAGCAUCGCUUGACAACCAAUGUUGGUGUGUUUACGUCCCCGUAACUUAGUGGUUCGGCAAAAGAGACCGAUAGAAUAAGUACUACGCUUACAUAGAAUAAGUCCUGCGGUCGAUUUACUCGACUAAAGGUGGUGCUCCAGCAUGUCAAAUGGUUGAAACAAAUAAAGAAAUACAAGAGUAAAAGAGUUAAAGGGACUUAUUUUUUCCCGCCAAAGCUAAUGUCGCGUGAGAAAAUCCUUUGGGUGAGUAGUGAACUUUGCUAAUAUAGACAGAAGGCCUGAAAUUUGGUGGGAGGUAGUAGUCGUUUCCAUCGACUCCAGUACUUGAACCCGAAAGGAUGAAGGGUGAAGUCAACCUCGACGGUAUUUGACUUGAAACCUAAAACCGGAAGAAAAGUCGCGAAGUGUUUUGUCCGGCGUUAUAACAAUUCCGUCAGCUCAUCGCCUUCAGGGUGAUGAUGAUGAUGACAAUAUAUAUAAUAUAUCACAGAUCGUUUGGUUUAUAUGUAUGUAUAUAUAUAUAUAUAUAUAUAUAUAUAUAUAUAUAUAGCCAAAGCUAAUGUCGCGUGAGAAAAUCCUUUGGGUGAGUAGUGAACUUUGCUAAUAUAGACAGAAGGCCUGAAAAAUUAAUACAUAGAUGUUAGAAAUUGUCAAGCAAUCAUUUCAUCUAUUGUAUUAAAUGGGUAAAGGUAAUAAUAUUAGGGUGAAGUCAACCUCGACGGUAUUUGACUUGAAACCUAAAACCGGAAGAAAAGUCGCGAAGUGUUUUGUCCGGCGUUAUAACUAUUACUGUAUAUCUCAUUUCAUUUUAUAUAUUGCCUUUUCUAGGGUGUAAUGAUGAUGAUGAAAGUAUGGAUAUGAGUAUAUCGGAUAGUUGAUCGUUUUAUUGAUUUUAUAUGUUUCUAUUAUAUAUAAUAUAUAUAUAUAUAUAUAUAUAUAUAUAUAUAUAUAUAUAUAUAUGUAUAUAUAUGUAUAUGCACAUUAUAUAGACAUAUAUACUUGCACAGACACACAGGCACACACACAAACACACAUAUACACAUAUACACACAUACACACACAAACACACGGAAAUACAUAUAUAUGCAGUUACAUAUAUGCAUGAUAUGCGUGUGUCUAUACUUAUGUGUAUGUAUUUCAAACAUUAAAACUUUUACGUGAAAUAUAUUUUCGAACAUUUCUUGCGAAGUAGCAGGGCGUUUUAUAACACAAGUUUUUUUCAUCAUACAUUGUUGUAGUUGUUGCUAUUUUAAAUCCUUUAAAUUAUAACAUGAAACGGUUGGAAAUUUUAGCAGAACUAUUCCUUCAUGGUCUAAGAAUUGUGCACAACAAAUAAAGAAGCCUACAUGCUUAGAUUGAGGGAUAGAAUAUGAAAGAAGAAAUGCCAUUUUUUUCCACCCUACUUCAUCGUUUCUAAGAAACGUUUACGCAUGCGUAGAUAUGUGCACAGGGCAAGAAUUUUAAAUGUCUUAUAUAACACUCGAGACUUUUUCCGUACAAUCUCCCAUCACUCGAAUUUUUCGCUCUUUCGUUCUCUCUCGCUCUCUUCUUCAUUAUCUCCCCUAAUACCUCCUCUCUUCUGUUCUCUGAGGUAUACAUACAUACAUACAUACAUACAUACAUACAUACAUACAUACAUGCAUACAUACAUACAUACAUAUACACAAACAUACAUACAUACAUACAUACAUAUACACAAACAUACAUAGAUAUAUACAUACAUACAUACAUACAUACAUACAUACAUACAUACAUACAUACACACAUACAUAUAUACAUACAUAGAUACAUACAUACUUACAUAUAUAUAUAUAAUGUAUAUAUAUUUAUAUAUAUAUAUAUAUAUAUAUAUAUAUAUAUAUUUAUAUAUAUAUGUAUACAUACAUACAUACACACAUGUAGAGACAGACAAAUAAAUAAAUAUAUAAAUAGAUAGGUAAAUAAAUAGACAGAUAGAUAAACAGAUAUGCAUACAUACGUACGUACAUACAUACGUGUGUACACGCGUCUGUGAGUUUCUCUUUGUUUAUAUGAGUAUAUUAAAAUAAUGCUCUGAUGUAAAGAAUUUUGCUGAGCAAAGCGAAAAAUAUGCAUUUAUGUUUUACGUGUGUAUGCACUGCAUAUAAUAAAUAUAAUGCUUGUAUUUAUGCAUGCAUGUACGCAGUAGUAUGUGUGUAUAUGCACAUAUAUGUAUACAUCUUGUAGUUUUGUAUAACAACAGGAAUUGCGUGAAUGCGCUUUUAUGUACUUACUAAAGUAUUUAUAUAUGAAUGGGUAUAUGGAUACAUACGAUAUAUCGCAUGGAUAUAUGUACUAAUGUUUAUCUAUGUCUGUGCGUGUAUUUGUGUGUGUACGCAUGCGUGUCUGCAAGUGUGCUUUAUGCGUCUGUUUUAGAUAUGUUUUAUAUGUGCCAGGAAACGUCUAUAAGUGUCUGUCUGUCUUUUGAAGUGCUGUUGGAGUGUGUGAGUGUACAGAAUAUGCAAAAGGAAAUUAGAUUACGGAAUUUAAAAAAAUUCAUAUUUUCAUAUCUAUGAACAUUUGAAUUGAGAAAAUUAAGAUACAUGAAAGCAAACAUAAACACAUAUAUGUGUAUUUACAUACACGUGUAUGUAUAAUAUGUACGUAGUAUAUUAACACUUAGGUAUAUAUAUAUAUAUAUAUAUAUAUAUAUAUAUAUAUAUAUAUAUAUAUAUAUAUAUAUAAACAUACAUAUGUGGUUGCAUAUGUUUUGAAUAUGCAUGCAUAUAUGGGUAUGUAUGCCUGAAUGUUAGCUUGUUGUGAUUAUGCAUAUUUGUAUGAAAACAAAUGAAUUAUUAAAAUGCUGGAGAUGUAAAGGUGAAGAUGUUUCCAAACUAAAGAUAAUGUUUCAUGCUAUUCUUGCGUUUGCACACCCAAACUCAACACAAACUCACAUAACAUUAUACACGCACGCACACACACAUACACACACACACACACACACACACACACACACCUACACACACAAACACACAUACAAACACACACAUUCAUCAUUGAGGCCUGUACAAAAUAGAAAAACUUUUGUAUACGUGUAGCAUUAUUGGAAAAUAUAUUUGGAGAAUAGACAUAAUACAUAUUGCUAAAGAUCAUUACUAUCUACUAUCUGUCUGUCUGUCUGUAUGUCGGUCUGCCUGCUUGGAUGCCUUCCUUCCGGUUUGUCUGUUUGUCUGUCUAUCUAUCUAUCCAUCAAUCUAUCUGUCUAUAUACGUAUGUAUGUAUUUACUAUAUAUUGGCAUGUGUGCCACUACACAUUCCUUAUUUUCUCUCUUUGUUUCUUUCUUUAUUUUCUCUCUUUAUUUUCUUUCCUUGUUUCUUUCCGUGGAAGAGCGUAUGCUCGAAAAGUUGAAAAUAUUUUCACUUCCCGAGCGUUAAACUGUUUGUUGUCUACACCCACUGUCUUCAUCUUUCGUUUUUUUUUUUGUGACUUCUCCCUAUAUAUAUAAAUAUAUAUAUAUAUAUAUAUAUAUAUAUAUAUAUAUAUAUAUAUAUAUAUAUAUAUAAACUUAGAUAAACUUAGAUAAACUUAGAUAUGUUUCGACCGACCAAACUUAAUAGCACCACCUGAUAGGAUUAUCUAAAUCCUGUUUAAGUCAAGUUUUGUUUAUGGUCCAUUCAAGUAGUGAGUUUUUGUUGGGUGAGUUGUAUCCAAUUAUGGGUGGCUUAUCUGGUAUUCUUUGAAAGAAUCUAUCCAGACUCCGUUUAAAGUUGAUGGGAUCCUUUUCCUCUUUGAUCUCUUUCGGGGCAAUGUUAAAUAGGGCAGGGCCUGUUGAGGAAAAGAAAUUAUCUUGCAGUGUACAUGUAUGCUGUGAUCUUGAAUUGGGCAGGAGACGUAUGGCCCCUGGUCCCAGUCUUGGAUGAACCUUGAAGCUAAUGUUCAGGUCGUUUGGGCAAAGUUGGCGGUAUAUUCACCACAUCGUACAAAUGAUGUACCGCUCACGGCGACGCUGGAGAGAGUAGAGUUUCAAGGCUUUAAGGCGGUCCCAAUAAUCGAGAGCAGCCAUGCCUUCAAUUCGUUUAGUGAGUGCUCUCUGGGGUGAUUCAAUCCUCGAGAUGUUUUGUCUUGUAUGGGGAGACCACAGUGGGCAGCAGUAUUCGAGGUUUGGCCGUACAAAGGAGGAGAAAAGUGGUAUGAUGACACCUUGUUCUCUGGACCGGAAAGUUCUUAAGAUCCAGGAACUCAUCCUACGAGCUAUAUCGACCUUCUUGUUGAUGUGUGCACUCCAACUGAGGUCGUCAUCAACAAUUACACCCAGGUCUCUGAUAUUGUUAGAAGCUGUGAGCGGUUUCCCUGAAGGAAGAGAGUAUGGCUGUUUUAGUGAGGAAUUUCUUCCAAAAUGCAUCAGCUCAAAUUUUCCCUCGUUCAGUUGCAUUUUGUUUCUGUCUGGCCAUUGAUUCACAGCAUAUAGAUCAGACUGGAGUUGAGUUCGGUCUGCUUCUUCAUUGAUGAUUUGCUGGAGAUUAGUGUCAUCAGCAAAUAUUUUCACUUUGCAGUAAUGUACAACACUGGAAAGGUCGUUUAUGUAAAUUAUAAAGAGUAGCGGGCCCAAGACAGUUCCCUGGGGGACACCGCUGGUGACUUUUGCUGGGUUUGAAUGGACUCCAUCAACUACAACAUAUUGUGUUCUAUUCGCCAGGAAAUACUUAAUCCAGUGUAGAAGUUUCCCACGGAUUCCAAUUUUGAGAGUAGGAUAUUAUGGUCAAUCUUGUCGAACGCUUUACUGAAGUCAAGAUAUAUGACAUCAGAGUUCGAACCUGUUCCCAAGGCUUUGAGUAUAUCUUCAAUGUGGUGUAAGAGCUGUGUUAGACAGUCCCUGCCAUAGCGAAAGCCAUGCUGAUUUGCAUUUUGGAGUUUGUGGGUCUCCAGGAAGUCAGCUAUCCUUGAUCUUAAUACUCUUUCAAACACUUUAAUGAUGUGGUAGGUGAGUGAGAUUGGGCGAUAGUUGACUGCGAGGGAUCUGUUUCCCUGUUUGAAAACCGGGAUGACAGAUUGGGAUAGAAGCUUUUUCGGUAUAUAACCUGAGUCUAACGAAUUUCUCCAGAGGUUGGUCAGAGGGACUGCAAGUUGGUGUCCACAUUCCUUCAGGAGACUAGCGGGGAAUCUAUCAGGGCCUACAGCAGAAUAGUAUUUGACCUCAUUUAUUGCUGCUAUGAUGUCAGAGGCAGUGAAGGUUAUGUCUGAGAUUUUAUGUUGGGAAUCAACUUCGUUCGCUUCUCUUACGUCAAUAUCAGUGGAAAUACUAAAGACAGAGCAGUAUUGUUUCUGCAGUAUUUCUGCCAUUUCUUUAGCAUCGUGUUGGGGAAUGCCGUUAUCAUCAAUCAAUGGCCCAAUGGGUGAGGCAGAGGUUCUAUGCUUAUUUGCAUAAGAAUAGAACACUUUUGGGUUCUGUUUGAUGUUUUUGAUUACCCACUGUUCCUCCACAGCUUUUUGAUUUUCAAUGGAGGUUUUCAUGUCGGUCUGCAGAUGAAGUUUUUCCAACUCUAGCCUUUUCAUUGUUGUUGAAUGUGGAUGUUGUAUGUGGGAAUAUUUUAAUUGGUUGAUUUUUUUUAUUGAGUCUUUUGAUGCGCCUGAUGAGUGUUUUUUUUCUUUUUAGGCAGCCGGUUUCUGUUUGUGUUAGUAGAUUUCGUAGGAGCGUGUUUAGAGCAUGUAUAGGUGACAAUGUUCUCAAAGUGCUGCCAUGCGGUUUCAGUUUGGGUGGAAUUGAGAGUAAAAGACCAGUCGAUGAAAGACAGAUCCUUUCUGAUUGCUCCCCAGUCCGCUUUGUGGAAGUUUAUGUUGUCAAAUGAGUGCCAUGGAGUGGGAUUGGCUGAUUUUAGUUUUUAUAUGUCGGGAAUUAAAAUUGCAGAGUACCAUGUGGUGGUCUGAGAAGAGAGUUUUUUCAACUGAAAUACUGUGAACGAAGCUAGAUUGGUUGGUUAAUAUUAGAUCCAAGAUCGUUUUACUCUGUCUUGUUGGUUCAAACACUAGCUGAGUCAGGAAGAAUUUAUCCAUUAGAUUAAAGAGUGAUUCUGCUGCUGCUUUAUCUGAUGUAGAGCAUUUGCUUAACUUCAGAGUAUUUGUGGGCCAGUUUAUAUGAGGGAGGUUAAAAUCACCCAUCACAAGUAUGUUUCCGGAGUUGUAUUUUUGAAGGAAGGACUUGAUUUUGUUAAGGCACUCUUCAAAGCACUUUAGAGGUGCUUGGGGAGGCCUGUAAAGACCAACAAUGAUUAUGUCUUUGGCCUUGUUGAACAGUGAUACAGAUUCACAAUAGCCAUUGGAAAAUAUAUCCUUGGCAUCAAGUUAAAAGGAGUCAUGGAUAAAGAUGGCUGUCCUUCCUUUAUUUCGGUCUGUGCGAUCUGCACGAACGAUGGUGAAAUCUUUUAUUUUCACCUCGGCAUCCAUAUGGGUGUUGUUUAGGUGAGUUUCAGUAAGGAUAAAGAAGGGAAGCAAUGUGCCGUUUCGGCAAGCCAACUCUCUAUAUAUGGGAUCUUCCAUUUUGGAGCAAUGAUUGAUGGGUUGAUGCCACGUACAUUUUACAGGAAUGUCGAGGUAAGGUUAGUUUGAUGUUUGCAUUGUUCUAAGUUAUGUUUUAUGUUGUUCAGUGGUAACAAUGUGGGUAGUUUUUGUAUGGAGCUGUGUGUAUGAUUUUCUUGUUGGUAGUGGGUGUGUGGUCCUUGUGAUUUGCAUAAAUGGUUGCUGAUAGCUCGUUGGAUCUCCUGGCUUAGGUCGGCCUUCAUAUUUUCUAGGUAAGUCAGUAAAAAAGAGUUGCCUCUUUAGUUUGCCACUUGGUCAGAGGAUACAUAGUUCAUGUUUAUGUUAUUUGGUGUUAUGGUUUCUUCAUGGUUCUGUCUUAGUUGUUUGAUUGUAAGAGGGGAAACGUGGUUGUAUUUUGUUUUUGUUGUUGUCGUAGAUCUCCUCUGUUGCUGUUUAUAUUUAUUUUGCGAUCGUUUUGUGCCCUUCAGAUGGUGGUGCUUGCAUUCUGGGUUCAGGCACAUCCUUAGUGACACAGAAGUUUGGCACAGUUUAGGAUGGAAGAAGGUGCAUCCAUUGCCUUUUGUGCAUGUAUAUAUAUAAUUUAAAAAUAGGAUAAAAUCUUUAUAAGAAUUUAUCAAGUAGUUAGUGUGAAAAACCUCAUAAGGGAAAAAAUAUUAAUUAUUCCCUUUAAAUAUAUUUAUUUAUAUGAAGGGCAUUACUAUACAAAAAUGCCCUUAAUAUAAAUAUAAAUAUAUAUAUAUAAACACAGGGUGCGGUGAAUAAACUCUAGUCUAAAUUACGCCUAAAGGAAAAUAACACUUACAUCUCAUUUUAACAGAGAUAGUUUCCAAAACUACAUAAAAAUAUCUUGAAAUAAAGAGUAAAUUCACUCAAUAAAAUGGCCAUUGGCUUCAAACACGGCCUCCAGACGACUUCGGAAUCUCUUGCAACUCUUCUGGACGGUGUCCUUGUUUAAGUUGGUCAAUGCUGCCAUAAUCCUUGCCUUCAGUUCAUCAGAGUGACAAGGAGUUUUGUUGGUCUCGUGCUCAACUGUACCCCUACAUAAUAAUGAAGGAGGUUUCAGUCUGGGGAGUUAGGUGGCCAGAUGUUAGGGGUGAUGUGGUCACAGAAAUUGUCUGACAGCCAUUACUGGGUCCUCCUGCUUGUGUGGCAUGGUGCAGUGUCUUGUUGCUAGACAUAGGGUCUUCCAGCAGCCACCUUACUAGGUAGAUUCCGGUAAGUGAACAUUUAGACGUAUGUGCAACAAACAAAUCGCCAAAAUUCCUAAAUUUUCCACUUUAUGUUUGCUCUGGCGAAACCACAGAUCAAAUACGUAUAAAUGAACUAUGUUUAUGCGCCACAAAUAAAUAAGCUAUAAAACAGAUAUAAUCACUAUCAACUUCAUCAAAACAUUACACUAUUGUAAUUCACACACAAUCACAUAGAUAACUAUAUACACGCAUGCAUACAUAUAUAUAUAACAUAUCGACACACGUAUACAAGCUAGGAACCUAUUUUCUACUCUUUUCUCUUUUGACAACCUGUUGUUCAUGUUGAAACAAUCUUGACAUUUGGCGCAAUUACUGUCCACAAUCAAGUGGCCUAAUAUGCGACCACAAUACAUAGUUGCUAUUCAUAUUGCCUCAUGACACAUUCGCUGCAAUAACACAGCUUUAAAUUUUGUCGCAGUUAUCGUUCAUAGAGUCGCAUGACCUCCGAUAUACAGGCGUCACUGAGAACUAAGCAAUUUCUAUGCCAGACCUGGUGACCAUCUUCAACCAGUCGAAUGUGUCUUAUUGCAAUUUGAGGCUCCAUAAAUGGGGCAACAUUUUCAACCUCUGAUCAGAGUGGAGACAAAUGCUGUUGAGAUUUAGGUCCUUCUGUUUUACAUCACUUUUCUAAAUAAAGAAAUCUUUACGCCGGUAAAGUAAAUAAAAAUAAAUGUUCUUAAUAAGUCCAAAAGCAUUUUCGACUCACUUCAUUAUAGUCGCAUAAGUGUGGAAAAACUUAGUUUCUCACUUACGCAUGCGUGUGUGUAUUCGUGUACGUGUGUGUAUGUGUAUGUGUGCGAAUUAUGUACAUACAUAUAUGUAUGUUAUAUAUGUAUAUAUACACACACGAAUGCAUGCACGAGUACAUGUAUAUGUAUAUAUAUGUGUGUAUAUGCGCGAGUUGUAUAUAUGUAUAAUAUUUUAUCUAUGUGUGUAAAAACAUUUAUAUUUAUUCUAUAUGUAAUAAAUUGUUUGUUGGUUGUUCGUUCCUUCUCGAGCCACGCCUGGCUCAUAAGGGCCAGUUGCCCGGUCUCCUUGGCGUAUAGGUUCCCCACCUGGACGGGACGCCGGUCCAUCGCAGGUGAGCUGCAAGAGGAAAGAGUAAGAGAAAGUUGUGGUGAAAGAGUCAGCAGAAGUUCACCAUUACCUUCUGCCGGAGCCGCGUGGAGCUUAGGUAUUUCGCUUAUAAACACACACAUCGCCCGCUCUAAGAUUCGAACCCGCGAUCCCUCGACCGCGAGUCCGCUGCUCUAACCACUAGGCCAUGUGCAUUCACUAUAUGUAAUAAAUAGACGUAUGCUAUUUUAACUUUCCCUGCAGUUUCUUUGAUUUACACCGAAAAUUUAAUAUAUUUAUCCUUCUUACUUGCAUAAUUUGAACUUUUUCUGUUACUGAUUUAACUAUAACAGCACUAUGCUAUCAUUGACAGCAAAAAAAAAAAAAAAAAGGAAAAAAAUUAACGCACAUCUGCCAGAUAUCGCUGGUAGCGCGACUACUUUGCCCAUUUAUUUCGGCUAGAGAUAUUGCUUCCUUAGGGUGGGUAUUUAAAACAACAUUAGUAUUCAUUUUGUACUUAAUUGUAAACAUAUUUGUAAAUGUUGACACAUAGAGUAAUAAGCAUGACAAUUCUCAAAAGACGACGGAAUAUUUUUGUACAGAUGAGAUAGCGUUUAAAAAGUCAUUUUAUUUGCACUUAUCAAUUUGAAAUGUGACGUAACUAUUAUAAAUAUACAAGAAAUAUAUAGUUAGAUGCUAAAUUAAAGUAAAAAUUUUACUGUUGUUCAUAGUAGGUAUCAUGAAUAUUAAUUUUAGAGAGAAAAGAAAAUGAUGGUACUACACGAACCACGCUCCAUGUGUUAGAAACAAUAGUCAAGUAUAUUGAAAUUAGCCUACUAUCUUAAAAUAAGUGAAAGGACCCGUUGAAGAAAAGAUUUUCUAGAUGAAUUACGGUGUGUGAAGAAAAUCUUUACCUGGAGAAAACGUUACUCUACCACAUUAAUUUGCUUAGAUUAGCAUUUCCUUCUUCAAGUGGUGAAUGUACACUAAGUAGGCUGGCCAGGCAACAGAAUGUGGAAUGUACAAUCUACAAUUAUGUUAGAAAUAUAUUUGACUUAAAAUUAUUUUUAAAAAUCGUUUGAACUCAAACCCCUCGUAAUUAGAAAGGCGUCUGGAAAUAAUGAUUUGUAAAAUAUGUACAAGUUUGCAUCUUUUGACAAAAAAAAAAGAAAAAUUUAAAAAAAACCCCAAAAAAGCCCAGUUAAUUUUUAUUGAGUCAGAAGAUGGUAAAAUAAUAUUUUAAAGAUUCAUAAUCUAAAAGAAUUAAAUAUUGUAAGACACUCUCCGUCGUUCUAUUGAUUCUGCCAAUCUACUGUUUCUAUGUUUAGAAAAAAAUAUUAUAUUAAGCAUAAGAACCACUACAACAAAUUUCCAGUAGCAAAAUGACUUUUAAAUGCAAUCAUGAAGAGAAAAGUCAAAAUAUUUCCGAAGAAAUUUUCACGUUAGCAAAAUAUUACGAAGAAAUCGCAAGAAAAAAAAGAAAAGAAAAAAGAUCAAAAUAUUACGGGAGAAAUCGUAUGUAUAUAUAUAUAUAUAUAUAUAUAUAUAUAUAUAUAUAUAUAUAUAUAUAUAUAUAUAUAUAUAUAUACACACUAUAUUAUUUACUAUUUACUAUUUAAUUGAACGUCACGCAUCCAUUUCCAAGUGAGUAUAUGUGUGUCUGUGUGUGUGUGCGUGGUCUUUAUAUCUGUUUCUGUCACUCCAUCACCUCUUGACAAACGGCGUUGGUGAGUUUACGUCCCCGUAACAUUACGCUUCGGUAAAAGAGACCGAUAGAGUAAGUACUAGGCUUUAAAAAAGUCCUAGGGUCGAUUUGUUCGACUAAAACCCUUUAAGUCGGUGCACCAACAUGGUCACAGUCAAAUGACUGUUGAUUAAAGGCAAUGUUAUGCUGAUGGGUCUAAGUCAAAGUAAAAAAAACUUAUACAAAGUCACCCCUCACCUAAAUAAAAGGUAAGUUGUCCUUUAUCCCUAAGCAUGUUAAUUCAACUGGAAAUUUAUCUUCAAUUUCUUGAUAUCAUACAUCAAUCUCAUUGAAAGUUGUUAAGAGUCGCGUGUGAUAUGCAAUACAGACCUUGACAUACACAGACCUUGGCAAACACAUACACAUUAUGUAUAUUGUUGACGGCGGAGGUAUUUACGAGCUUUCAAGAGAACUUGCAAUAAUUCUUUUUGGUAGGUAGAGGGAACUGGAUCACGAAGUACAUAUAUAACAUGUAAAUUUUAGGUUAAUAAUCUCUUUUGGAUAGAAAAAGUCGAAAGCAGCUUCGAGAUCCAAUUCCCAAAGGAUGUAUGUAUGUAUGUAUGUAUGUAUGUAUGUAUGUAUGUAUGUAUGUAUGCAUGCAUGUGUGUAUGUAUGUAUGUAUGUAUGUAUGUAUGUAUGUAUGUAUGUAUGUAUGUAUGCAUGCAUGUAUGCAUGCAUGUGUGUGCAUGUGUGUGUUUGUGAGUAAGCAUGUGCGUGUGUGUGCGCACUUGUACCUCUGUCUAUUUCUGUCUAUCUAUCUAUCUAUCUAUCUAUCUAUCUAUCUAUCUAUCUAUCUAUCUAUCUAUCUAUCUAUCCAUCUAUCUAUCUGUCUGUAUGUAUGUAUACAUAUGUAUGAAUGUAAAUCAACACACAUGCAUACAUAUAUAUGUGUGUGUGCGUGUGGUGUAUAUAUAUAUAUAUAUAUAUAUAUGCUGACAUACAAAACACAUAACCAUUCAUCGUUGGAUGGCAUAUAGAUAUGUGUAUUUUUCUGUGUUGAUAUCUAUACAUAGGAUUUAUUAUUUUACUACAUACAGUGGAGGGACGUUAUGAAUAAAGAGACAGCCAGAAAAUAAAUCACUCACUUCCGUAGCGUUUAAGAUUCAGUUCUUCAUAUGAAAGUUAAAUAAAUAAUGCCUCAAAUUUUUGAAAAAUUCUCAUUUUUAUUUAUUUCCUCGCCUCCUCUCUUUGAGUGUCAUUGUUUCUUUUUCCUCUCUUUCUCUAUAACUCUUUUCGGGCACAUUUCUUACGCCACCUCGUUUCUUCGAAUAUUCUAUCUUUAAAUACACGUUAUGUGCUAAAAUAAUGACGUAUUGUUAAUAUUUUAUCAUUUUCGCUGACACUCUAUGGAUAUAACAAGCGAAAGAGAAUGUUUUAUGAUGAAUAUAUUUCGCAGCCGCCUCUAUUUUUAUCACAACUAUAUUUAGAUAAUCACAUAUUUCAAAUUUAAUAACGAAUAUCGUUGUUGCUGUCUGUGCGGCUGUGUUUGUAGCUAUUGGUGCUGAUAUUAUUUUUCUUCCUUCUCAUAACUCUUUCUAUUAUAGGCACAAGGGCUGAAAUUUUGUUGGCCACUACGUCCACCUCAGUACUCGAAUGGUGCUUAUGUUAUCGAACACGAAAGGAUGGGAUAAAUGUCGAAAGUGGGAGAAAUUUGAGGUCAGAAAGAAAAGUGAGUAAAAAAGCUUGUAAGCAUACAUAAGCACACAGUUUCACAUUUAAUGAGAAAGUAUAGUAGGUUAGAUCAACGUUAGAACUUCAACAUUCUAUUUGUGAAAGCAAAUAAGCGCGACCAAGAACAAAAGACAAACACUGCUCAGUAGCAGAAGUAGAGAGAAAUAUCAUUUUAUUGGAAGAAGAGUUCACAAAGCGUUAUAUCCAGUUUCACGAUUGCAAUCUUCGGACGAAAAUCGAGAAGUAAGGACUUAAGCAACGCAUUUAAAGGCAACUAGAAACAUCAAACAAUAUAUUUAUAUAUAUAUAUAUAUAUAUAUAUAUAUAUAUAUAUAUAUAUAUAUAUAUAUAGUUAAUCCAAACAUGAAAACACAAAGAGAAAACACAACAACGCGAGGACGUGGAACAAAUAUAGUAUUAUUGGACGCUCAGGAAGGAAGGAAGGAAGGAAAGAAGGAGGGUUUAACGUUUCGAGCGGUGCUCUUCGUCAGAAACAUAGGAAAAGGAAAGAUCCAAAGAAGAGAAGACGGAGGAAAAAAAUCGCCAACGGUACACACGCGGUCACACACACACACACACACACACACACACACACACACACACACACACACACACACACACACACACAUAUAUAUAUAUAUAUAUAUAUAUAACGGUAAGCUUUAUGAAAAUAGACAAAAGACGAAGGCAGGUUUACGGAAAUAAACAAAAGAGGAAGGCAGGUGGAAUACAAACAAACAAUUGUAUUAGUAUGGCGCUCAGGAAAUAUAAAUGAAGCAAGUCUUUAACGUUUCGAGCCUACGCUCUUCAACAGAAAGAUACACAGAGAAAAAAAACACAGAAAGAAGGAGAGAAAAAAAUAUGCGUGCAAAAGCUAGCGAAUCAACAUGGCGAUCUGAUUUCGGCCAGAAGUCAAAGAUCAAACAUGAGACGCAAGAGCGAAAUUAGGGGAGAUAUUAGGGUUGAAUGACCCUCGCUCAAACAUAAGAGUGUGUGUGUGUGUGUAUGAGAGAGUAUUAGUGCGUAUGAGAGGUCUAGACGUGUGUAUGUAUAUAUGAUGUGAUGUGUAAAGUCGUAUGGUGUAGUGUAGAGAGGAGAAGAGGGGGUAUUAGUGCGUAUGAGAGGUCUAGACGUGUGUAUGUAUGUAUGAUGUGAUGUGUAAAGUCGUAUGGUGUGGUGUAGAGAGAGGAGAAGAGGGGGAGGGGGAGAUGGGAGGGGGAGGGGGAGAAAGAAAGGGGAGAGGGGGAGGGGGAGGGGGAGGGGGAGAAGGAAGGAGAGGAGAAGAGGAGGGGAGGGGAGGAGGGAGGAUAGAGGGAGAGAGAGAGAAGGGGAGUGAGGGAGCAGAGGGAAGGGAAGAGGGAAGAAAGAGGGAGGGAGAAAGAGGGAAGAAGGGAAGAGGAGUAGGGGUGAAAAGAUGAAGGACUGAAGAGAAGUAGGGGUCGGGGGGAGGUUAGAUGAGGAGGGGGAGGGUUAGAUGAGGAAGGGGAGAGGGGGUUAGAUGAGGAGGGGGAGGAGAGUUGAGACCAAAUGGCAUAUAAGAGCGAAGAGAGAAGAUUAAUUCCUGUUCAUGGCGCAAACGGGAAUCCGGAUGGCCUCUGUGUAAGGACAAACCGAACACAGACAGGUGUUGCAAGGAGCGGAAAUGGCGUGAGACCGGUGUGUCGUUCGCAAGGUGGAUGUCACAAAGGUGUUCCGCGAACCGGUCAGCCAAGCGGCGUCCCGUUUGUCCGAUGUACAGGGAAUGGCAGAGAGAGCAAGAUACGCAAUAGAUAAUAUUGCUGGAGGUGCAGGUAUUGCUGACUGGAUAUAUGAGAUAUAUGCAAAAGUAAAGCAUGAAAUAAAAGCGGUGGACAAGUGAAACAUGUGAAAUAUACGAUAAAAAAAAAGACAAAAUUCUUUCCGGAGUCAUAUAGAUACAGUAGGCUAGUUUUUCGAAUUCCUUGUCGCAUAUAUUCUGCUUUGGACGGGACACCAGUCAAUCGAAGGAUUACUCAUUUUUGACAGCUGAAUAGACUGGUGCAACAUAAAAUGAAGCAAAUUUUCUCAAGAUAACAAAGAAUCGCAAGAAAUCGAACACACGAUCUUACGAGCAUGAGUGCAAUAUCAUAAACAUGACGACACCCGUCUCCGCACAAAUAUACAAUAACUGGUAAAAUAAGUUGAAAAUAAAAAAUAAAAUUGUUAAGCUCUGUACUCCAGCAUGACUACAGUCUAAUGGCGGCGACAUGUACAAAAUUAUAUAUAUACACCUCAACCCCACCCCACACAUAGAGACAGAUUGAUUGAUAUAGAUAUUUAUACAUGUACUGAACGCACACUCUCAUGCACACACAUGUAUAUAUAAAAGGCGGCGAGCUGGCAGAAUCGUUAGCACGCUGGGUGAAAUGCGUAGCCGUAUUUCGUCUGCCGUUACGUUCCGAGUUCAAAUUCCGCCGAGGUCGACUUUGCCUUUCAACCUUUCGGGGUCGAUAAAUUAAGUACCAGUUGCGCACUGGGGUCGAUGUAAUCGACUUGAUCCCUUUGUUUGUCCUUGUUUGUCCCCUCUGUGUUUGGCCCCUUGUGGGUAGUAAAGAAAUAUAUAUAAUAUAUAUAUAUAUAUACACAUAUGCAUAUAUAAGCACACGCAAACACACCCACAUACGCACAAACAUACAGACACAGAUGCGAAUACGAAUAUACAGCGGACUUCUUUUAGUUUCCAUCUACCAAAACCUCUCACAAACUUUUGGUCUGCCCGAGGCUAUAGUAGAAGGUGCCACGUAGAGUGAAACCGGAGCCAGAAGUAAGCGGUUGGUAAUCAAGCUUCUUACCAGACAGUCACGUUUGCGUCUAUGGAUUACAUCUUGUGUGUACAAAUAGAUGUCCGAAUGCUACUACUAUGCUUAGAGUCCCCAUAGAUUAUCAUGUUUCACUGUGCUUCCAGUAGAGUGGUUAAGUAAUUACUUUACUUGGUAGUAUUGCUAGUUAUGAAAUUCCAGAGCAAAUGUAGGAGAAAUUAAGUUAAACACGAGUUUGUGUGAUUAGUGACAACGUACGAAGGAAACAGUUAAACGUAUAAACUACGGUGAUUAGUUAUCUGUGACUUAAUGUAAUAAAACGUUCCCUGGUGAUCUGUUCUCGUUAAGCAUUCAUAUGCAGUUCGAGACAUAAUGCAUGCUUCUAAGCAACCAUAAUAGUGAAACGAACGUAGGAAUAAGAUGAGCUUCUGUUUACCUUAUUUUUUCAUAUAUAUAUAUAUAUAUAUAUAUAUAUAUAUAUAUAUAUAUAUAUAUAUAUAUAUAUAUAUAUAUAUAUAUAUAUAUAUAUAUAUAUAUAUAUAUAUAUAUAUAUAUAUAAUACAUAUAUAUAAUAUAUAUAUAUUCUAUAUAUAAUUAAUCCAAACAUGAACAAUGAGAAAACACCGCGAGGACGUGGAAUAAGUAUAAUGUUAUAUGGACGCUCAGGAAAGGAAAGAAAGAAGGAGGAUUUAACGUUUCGAACGGAGCUCUUCGUCAGAAACCAAGGAAGGGAAGACGGAGAAAGAAAAUUGCCAACGAUAUACAUAUAUAAUAUAUAUAUAUAUCACCGUGAUCACCGUGACCGACCAGUCUAUCAGAUGUUGCUACACAUCGCUGGUCACAAUGCGCUUCGCAUUGUUUUAGCCUUCAAAUGACGCCACCCCGCUGGCUAAGCGAGCAGGCCAACAGAGGGAAGAGUGAGAGAAAGUUGCAGUGAAAGAGUGGAGCUCGGAUCGCCACCACCCCCUGUCGGAGCCUCGUGGAACUUUAGGUGUUUCACUCAAUAAACACUCACAACGCCCGGUCUAGGAAUCGAAAUCGCGACCCUACGACCGCGAGUCUGCUGCCCUAACCACUGGGCCAUUGCACCUCACACACACACACACACACACACAUAUAUAUAUAUAUAUAUAUAUAUAUAUAUUUAUUUUAUUCUUUUACUUUUACUCGUUUCAAUCAAUUGACUGCGGUCAUGCUGGAACAUCACUUUUAGUCAAAGAAACCGACCUCAGGACUUCUUCUUUGUAAGCCUAGUACUCUAUCUUAUAGUAGAAACAGCAGUAAGCUAAUGAAGUUCAUAUGAUAAUCGUUUAUUCCUUUUUGUCAUAUCAUUUUCUCGUAUAUAUAUAUAUAUAUAUAUAUAUAUAUAUAUAUAUAUAUAUAUAUAUAUAUAUUGUGGUGUCCUGGACGUACAUAUAUUUAUAUAUGCAUGUAUAUAUACAUGUAGAUGUCGGUACGUACAUAUAUGUUUGUAUGUAUGCAUAUAUUUUAUUUAUUACACUAUUGUCUGACAGCGCUUCGCGUCGGGUUCGUUCGAAUUUUCGAAUUUCCGAAUCUUCGCUUCGUUCUGUCUCUUAUCCUCCCAGUAUUGUCUUAUAAUAUAAUUAUGACGCGAAAUUCUCUCCCUUUGCUUUACCUUCCCCUCUCUCUCUCCCUCUUCCUCAUCCUUCUCUCAGCCGCGUGUCUUCCUCUCUCUCUCUCUCUCUCUCUCUCACUCCUCCUCACUUUCGUCACUGCUAAUCCUUUUGCACGUUGCUUUCAGGCCGUAAGGUCAUGUUUCCCUGCGCUCGCCAGUACCUCUUCCGUCCCAGCUAGAGCAAAAGCCCAUCGUUUGUUUUUUUCCUUCGUUUUCUUGUUUAUUUUGAUUUCUCGUUUUAUAUUUUAUUUCUCGUUUUGUAUUUUCUUGUACAUGUAUUUUUAAUUUUGUAUUUUUAUCUUGUAUUUUAUUACGCAGUUCUAUUGUUACGUCCCGUUUGUGUUACAUUUUUUCGUGCUUGUUUUACCCCUCUGCGAGGUUAUUUUAUUUUAAUUCUCUUGCAGGAAGGCCUAGUAUUGACGAGUCGUGUCCUGUCUUGCCUUCGAAACACGCUAAGUCUACUAGUGACAGCUGAUGAAGGGGAUUUUUCCUUGUGUAGCUUGUCCUGUACCUUGCUUUUCUGUUAUAAAUAAUGUUUUUCCUGUUAUUCAACUUUGUGAACACUAUUACCCUGCAUGCGUAAGCAAAAGCUGGGUAUUAUAGUCGUUCGUCUUAGUCUGUAUGUCUGUGUUUUUGCAAAAUCACUGAAAAACAACUAAACGGAUUUUCACCAAAUUUGGCAGAAAUACUCAUUGGGUAAAUGGCUCGAUAUCAUUAAAUUUUGGUUUGAAUAGCUUCAUAAUUGGCGGACUGGUGAAGCAAAAUGUUUCUUUUUCUUUAUUACACAUGCAUAAACGAUAAGCAAGGGAAAUAACCCUUGAUGUCAUUUAGUUGAAAUAUGAAUGCGUCUGAGAAUAUAUUUAUUAAAUAAAAAUUCAGUUUAUCCUAGUGUGCGCGCAGGGUAUUCAUCACCCCUCCGAUGCCUUUUUAAAAAUUUUUUUACAUUAGUCUUGCAUCCAUUUAUAUGGUUUGGUGGGAGCGGACUGACUUGGUGUAUUUACACCCUUUUUCUACAUCGAGAAUAUUUCUCCAAGAAAAAAAUGGAGUGAAUAGUUUCCUUACGGAUUUGAAUAUGUCUUAAGCAUAUUUAAACUGGUAACGAGUUUUAUAUUUGUGUACAUCACUGCAUAUCGCUUCUUUUCUGCAUUCUAAUACAGCUGGGUCACAGAUUAGCAUAACAAGUCACAGUAAUUUGACUGGAAUGUGAUAUGAGAGAUCUGUUGUUUCGUAGCCAAAUCAGAACACCUCUCUCUCCAGUGAUUGAUGUUGAAGAAAUGACUACUCUGAAAUCCAACGAUCUGGGUAGAGAGCAUCCGCGACUGACUGAUGCAUUUAGGCCUUUUUGUCAACAGUGAGAAAUUUUCUCCUUGACAAACUGUUGGGAAUAGCAGUCCAACGGGUUCGAAUAUGUCCCAGGCAUAUUUGAACUGGUAACAAGUUUAUACUUAGUUCUCUAUGACAAAGUUUUUUGAACACGCUUCCGUGGAACCCAAUAGUUCCAAAUCGUCUAUUACUGGUUCCAGGGCUGAUUUGUAAGAAAUACCCCAGCAGUGUUCCGGUAUUUUGGAAUAUGUACAUAGAUAUUUGUAAAGAAACUAUUUUUUUUUCCCCAAAUAUGUUUGUAUUUAUGUUUAAUCUAAUCCAUAAUCUAAUUAGAAUUUACUGCUGAACCAUUCGUAGUUUCGAAAAGCAUGAAAUAUAAUUCCAAUGAUACUAUUAAACUUGUCAGUAUUUCUACAUCAACACUACUAAAUGUAAAAAUCUUUAGUUUAUUAUGUGAAAAUGUAGGAAUUCUAUAUACAACUUCAUUUGUAUAGAAUGAGAUGCGCUGUUUAUCGCGUAGAGAAGUAAUGAUUCAUUAAAAAAAUUUUUUUUUUAAUUUCGAAAGGUGUGUAGAAAUUGGGUUAUUUCUAUUUGAUUCUUAGGCGCUUAUGUUUCUGAUAUAUUUACUUGAUUAAGGUUAAUUGUUUAAUGCAGAGUAACUAAAUAAACAUGCUUGAAAGUAAAAAAUAAAACGAAUACCGUUUAGCGUAAAGUAAAAUCUUGCGCUGACUAUGUAGCUAGGGAUGAUGUCCGGUGUUUUUUAAAAUCUUAGGGCUUUUUGUCUAGCAUACAAAUGUUCCUUAGUCAUGAUACAAACAUUCAAUAUUGUAAUAUUUAUACGAUAUUUAGCUGUUAUGAAUAACUAACAGUAGGUUUCGGUGGAAAUUGGAAGUCAACUUUGGUGUGAAAGCCUGUCUAUAGACUCAUUAAACUUAAGCAGUCUUUUACUGGAAGAAAAGCAAAUAAACAGGCUUCUGGAUUGUAUUGUUAAUGAAAUAUCCUACUUCGUUAAUACAAAAUCAAGAUCAUUAAUAAAAGAUCAAGAUCGUUAAUACUAGAUAAAGAUCAUUAAUACAAGAUCAAGAUUUAAUACAAUUUCCAGCUAUAUAUUUAUAUGAAAUAACUUUCUUAAUAAUGAAGAACGUUUAAUAACGAAGAAUAGAGAUUAACUGAAUAUAGAAGAUGGUUUAUGGUUAGGAGGAACUUACUUAUUUUCAAAAUCUAAAACUCACUAACUAUAAAUGUUGAAUUUUUCAAGAAAACAACACCCUAAAAUUAUAGCACAAUGUUAUUUUAAUUCUUUUUUGGGGAUAUAGUUAUAAUAUUUUCCCCUUAGAAUAUAUUAUAAAUUCCCCCCAAAAUUCUCUAAUCUAGGAUGUCCCAUGACCACAAUAAGUUUUAUCAUAUGCAUUUUUGAUAAUAAACUAGAAUGGUCCGUUUCAGAGUUUCUGCAAAUGUGUUUGUAACAUUGUGAGCGAUGGUGUAUGCAUAGUUUCUACAGGAUGCCUUUGUCAUAACUUGCGAUUGCAUUGUUUUGUCUGCCGGACAUACUUCUUACACUUUCCACAAGAUGUCUGUAACCCUAAAAGGGAUUAUCUUGUUUCGCCUGUCAUGUAGUGUUUCUGAUUUCUCCACGGUACUUCCUAUUAUAUAAUAUUCUUAAGUAAAUUUCCAGGUUUAGUUACCAAAACUAUCACUGCAGAACCCACAUUAUUCUUGGUGGUAUACGCAUUACACCAAAAAUGAUAGGAUACCAAUCUGAAAUUGGAAUCAAUGGUAAAGACAAAUUAUAACUAAAGUGUACUGGGAGCAAACAGCAGAAGUAAUAACAGAACAGUUACAUCAAUGUUACAAAAAAAAAGGAGUCGGCCCAGGAGGAGUAGGCGCAGGAGUGGCUAUGUGGUAAGUAGCUUGCUUACCAACCACAUGGUCCCGAGUUCAGUCUUAAAGUAAGAAUCAUAUGUAAUGAAAAUAAAUACAAAAAAAAUAAACACUCACACAUGAAAACUAUGGCAGUCAGCAAGAAACGAACCACUAACAUCAAUAUAGCCAAAAAUGGAACACUAAUAGAACAAAUUUCAACCGUGGUCUAUAUUGGCUUUAUGAAGUCUGAAAAACGGUAAAUUUGAAACUGAAAUUUGACGAAGAAUAGAAAUUGCAAGGAAUACAAAGGAAAGCGUGUCAAAUGCGUUAACAUCAAAGAAAAUACAAGUAGAAACAAGAAUACGGUAUAAAUGUUACAUACAGUUCACACUAUCAUAUGGUACAGAAACAUGGAUAUUGACCAAAUCUGCCUGAUAAACUAGAAGCUUUUGAAAUGUGGGCAUAUAAAAGAACGUUAAGAAUAUACUGGACAAAUCAUAUAACUAAUAAAAAUAAGUGCUACAACAAGCGAACACAAAAAAAUUAUUACUCUCAACUGCUAAAAAGGCAUUUUGGUCACAUAGUAAGUGUAUAGGGUAUAGAAAGGAUGUUAUGAGAAGGAAAGCUAAAUGGUAAACAGCCGAGAGGAAGACCUAGUACCAACCGGUUUGAUAACAUCGAAGACUGAACGAAACAACCAGACGGUGAAUGUGGAAGAAUGGCGGAAAAAAGACCCGAAUGGGGAUCUUUGAUAUUCACCUGGCUGAGAGCAGCAGCUGGUACAGGAUAAUGAUGCUAAUGAGGAUACUAAUAACAGGCAGAUACACUAAAGCACAUGCAUACAUAUAUAUAUUUCUUUAUUGCCCACAAGGUGCUAAACAUAGAGAGGACAAACAAGGACAGACAAAGGGAUUAAGUCGAUUACAUCGACCCCAAUGCGAAACUGGUACUUUUAUUUAUCGACCCCGAAAGGAUGAAAGGCAAAGUCGACCUCGGCGGAAUUUGAACUCAGAACGUAACGACAGACGAAAUACGGCUAAGCAUUCCGCCCGGCGCGCUAACGUGUCUGCCAGCUCGCCGCCUUUAGUAUAUAUGUACACUCACACACACGCGCGGGCACACGCAUAUACAUACAUACAAACAUACAUACAUAUAUAUAUAUAUAUACACAUAUAUAUAUAUGUAUACAUAUAUAAAUAUACAUACAUAUAUAUAUAUAUAUAUUUAAAAAAGGAGAUGUGGAACACGAGUUGUGAUAUAUAAAAAAGGAAAUGAAGAAAAUGCUGACAAAAUAAUUUAAGUAAUUUAAGUAAUUUAAUUAGGUGGAAGUUCAUUUUACCGGUUGCGCAACCGGUAAAAAGAACUUUCCUUUUAUAUAUAUAUAUAUAUAUAUAUAUAUAUAUAUAUGCACACAUCUGUCUAUCAAUCUAAACACACGCACACAUAUAUAAAAAGAUAUUAAGACAUUGCCGUUUUCUUCUAUACUUCUGUGAGUAUGGUUCGUCUGUUUUUCUAUGCAUGUUUUGGUAUUUUGAAAAUAUUUCUAUGUAAUAAAUAAUCUUUGGAAUUAAUGCACUGGGAUAUGAAAAGAAUGACAUAUUUUCUUUUUAUUAUUUCUCCAUAGGCGUAGGAGUACCUGUGUGGUAACUAGCUUGCUUACCAACCACAUGGUUCCGGGUUCAGUCCCACUGCGGGCUGACCAAGAGUUUGUGAGUGGAUUUGGUAGACGGAAACUGAAAGAAGCGUGUCGUAUAUAUGUAUAUAUAUAUGUGUGUGUAUACGUUUGUGUGUCUGUGUUUGUCUCCCCAACAUCGCUUGACAACCGACGUUUGUGUAUUUACGUCCCCGUAACUUAGCGGUUCGGCACAAGAGACGGAUUGAAAACGUACUAGGCUUACAAGGAAUAAGUCCUGCAGUCGAUUUGCUCGACUAAAGGCGGUGCUCCAGCAUGGCCACAUUCAAAUGACUGAAACAAGCAAAAGAGUAAAGAGUAAAGCGUAUCCCUUGCCCUGGGAUGACUAAUAUUUACAUUCUAAUACAUCCACCAACGGAGGUUGGAAACCUUUAAUUUCAAGUCAACGAAACUCACGUCAAAAGGACAACGAUAACGAGCAGUAAGCACUGUUAUAGUUCGCACUUGCACAUUCUCUGACUGCUCUGACAAAUACUGAUUUACGUCGUUAUGAUUGGAAUUUCGAUGGUUUAGUACUGCUUGCAAUAGUUACGGUUUCAAAUACAGAUCGAAAGGUUUCACGUAUCUCGCUUUCUCUCUUUCUCUCCCUGCAAAUGUGCGCGCGUGUAUGUGUAUGUGUGUGCGUGUGUGUGACUAAACAUAUAUAUAACGAACUGGCAGAAACGGCGGCGAGCUGGCAGAAAAGUUAGCACGCCGGGCGAAAUGCGUAGCCGUAUUUCGUCUGCCGUUACGUUCUGGGUUCAAAUUCCGCCGACGUCGACUUUGCCUUUCAUCCUUUCGGGGUCGAUAAAUUAAGUACCAGUUACGCACUGGGGUCGAUGUAAUCGACUUAAUCCGUUUGUCUGUCCUUGUUUGUCCUCUCUGUGUUUAGCCCCUUGUGGGUAGUAAAGAAAUAUAUAUAUAACGGACUCUCCCUGCAAAGAUGAUUUGUUUAUAGUAACCAAAUGUAUGUGCUGUACAUAAGGUCGCUCCCUCCAUCAAACCGACGUUGUCUGAACUAGUACACGGUGUACCACGCGUCAGGUGUCAAAGUGAUCGAAGAGCGACGGUCUAGGAAUUGAAACCACGACCUCGCGAUCGUGAGGGCAAUACCCUAACCACUUGGGCAAUACAGUACUGUAUUAUAUAUUUUUAAAAAAUAUUUUUAUAAUUUGUGUAUAUUUAUUUUAUAUUAAAUGCAGAACAAUACCACAGAGGAAUCGACGUAAGCCUAUAUAAUAAACCGCGAUAGGUGAAACGCGAUAUCGCGAGGAUUACUGUGUAAAUGUAUUAUUAUUUACGUGUAUAUGUGUGUGUGUAUGUAUGUAUAUAUAUAUAUAUAUAUAUAUAUAUAUAUAUAUAUAUAUAUAUAUAUAUAUAUAUAUAUAUAUAUAUAUAUAUAUAUAUAUAUAUAUAGAUAUAUACAUAUAUACAUAUAUAUAUAUAUAUAUAUAUAUAUAUAUAUAUACAUAUAUAAUAUAUAUAUAUAUAUAUAUAUAUAUAUAUAUAUAUAUAUAUGCGUGCGUGAUGUGUGUAUGUGUGUGUACGGGAGUAUUUACACAUGUAAGUACUUAUGUGUGCUCUUGAUAUUUCAGCGUAAUUUGUGCAAACCCUUUCAGGCAGUGAUGAUGUGUAGAUAAUUUACGUGACACCUGCUGAUAUCUAGGAAAGAUCAGCGAAAAUGACCAGACGUUGAAAUAUUAUCCGGACAAUUUGAACAAUUUCCACAGUUUUAUACUUUCCUUUUCUUUUCGUUAUGUAUAUAUGUAUACGCAUAUAUAUAUAUGUACAUAUAUAUAUAUAUAUAUAUAUAUAUAUAUAUAUAUAUAUAUAUAUAAACAUGUAUGUAUGUAUGCAUGUAUAUAUGUAUGUAUAUAUAUAUAUAUAUAUGUAUAUUUAUAUACAUAUAACCAUAUAUAUAUAUGUGUAUAUAUAUAUAUAUAUGUAUAUUUAUAUACAUAUAGCCAUAUAUAUGUGUGUGUAUAUAUAUAUAUAUAUAAUUAGAUAUAUCUCACCUCAUCUCUAUUUCUGCCUUUGUCUGUAUGUCAGUGUGCUCUGCUCUUUCUUUCUCUCUCUGUUUUUCUCUCUUUCCUUCUCUGUCUUCCUGCUUGCGUCUGUAUCUAUCUAUACACCUAUUAUAAAACGGCAUUUUCUUUUCAUGGGCGUACUGUUCUAGCAAAAUGUCAGAUUUGCUAUUACCAAAAGAGCCAGUUCUCUCUAAGGACGGUAAAUUCCUGCAAUGUCAACGUAUUCGAAAUUACAUAACUUCACAAAACAUUUUUUUUUUUAUUCAGUCUUUCUUAAUAAAACGGGCAUUGCUGUUGGCUUCAACAGUCUAGUUCGUUUCCUUCCCCUGAUCUUGAAACAAAGACACUGAAGUCCUACUUAACAAGUAGACUAACAUGUAAUUAUAUAUUAGGUGCUAUCGAAGCAGCAUGGUGGUUAGGAGAAUAAUGUAUUGGAAUACAUGACGUAAUACACGAACUCCAAUAUAUUUCUUUAGUAAACGUUUCGUCUGAGUUUCUGCUAUCAUAGUUUUGCUAUCUCAAGUCACCCUUGAGAUGGCAAAACUAUGACAAAUAAUGUUCCCGAAAUGACUAUUCCGCCUUUUAAUGCUAUUCUUUCUUUUAUCAGCAGUAACUUAUCAAUUAUACAUUUAUUCUUUUAUUAUUUUAUCUGUUUCAGUCACUUCACUGCGGCCAUGUUGGAGCACUGUCUUUAGUGGAACAAAUCGACACCAGGACUUAUUGCUUGUAAGCCUGGUACUUAUUCUAUCGGUCUCUUCUUCCGAACCGCUAAGGACGUAAACACACCAACAUCGGUUGUCACGUGAUGGUGGAGGGGGAAUACCGAAACACAAACACACACACACAUCUAUACAAAGGGCUUCUUUCAGUUUUCAUCUACCAAAUCUACUCACAAGGCUUUGGUCGGCCCGAGGCUAUAGUGGAAGACACUUGCCCAAGGUGUCACACAGUGGGACUGAACCCGGAACCAUGUGGUUUGUAAGCAAGCUACUUACCCCAUAGCCGCUCCUGCUCCUAAAGUUAAUCGACCACGAGAAUCGAGUUUCGGCUGCUGUUUCUAUGUUUCCUCGUAAGUUCAGGAGAAACUUCUGGCGUUGUUCCCUCUCAGCUCUGUGCUUGUGUACAACCAGUGACCAAGCAUAAUAUAAGUGUACGCAAAAGAUCAGCUGCCUAAGAUCUUUUGGGCACACUGGCAUUACAAUUGUUCGCUUGUUGAACAAAACAUACGUUUGUCGCGGAACAAAUUGCAAGCUUAAGAUUUUUUCAAAUAAUAGUUCCUAAACAUAAGAGUAGACUCAAAUUUUUAGUCCUGUUUUGUGAAAAAGAUGAAUCUCUCUGGGAAAUUCGUUGGUUUCACUAUGUUUAAUGUUUCCUAAUCAUUAAACAUAGAAACUCACCACUAUUCAGAGCAUCGACGGCCAUUACGUUUUUCUUUUUUUAGGGGCAACGAUGAUCUAAUUAGCGUUUCUGAAGAAUCCAAACAUUUCAUAGACACAUUAACAGUUAUUACAUUAUGGUUAGCUACUCAUCUAGUAUAUAUAUAUAUAUAAAUCGGCGGCGAGCUGGCAGAAUCGUUAGCACGCCGGGCGAAAUGCGUAGCCGUAUUUCAUCUGCAUGACGUUCUAGGGGCAACGAUGAUCUAAUUAGCGUUUCUGAAGAAUCCAAACAUUUCAUAGACACAUUAACAGUUAUUACAUUAUGGUUAGCUACUCAUCUAGUAUAUAUAUAUAUAUAUAUAUAAAUCGUAAUAUGUGUGUGUAUAAUGACUAACGCAUACAUUUCCCCAAUUCUCACUCGAUUUCCUCCAAAUUUUACACACACAUUACUUAUGUCCCAAGGACGGUCAUGCACUAUAACAUUUUGUCCAGAACUCCCGCGUAAAUGAACGUAAAUGGACAUAUUUUUUUGUAUGUAG
rnacentral:lncRNA from 1 species